UUUAUGGAGAGUUUGAUCCUGGCUCAGGACGAACGCUGGCGGCGUGCUUAACACAUGCAAGUCGAACGGUCCUCGAAGUUCGAGGUUGGAGGUUCGAAGUUCGAAUAAAAGAAAUUCGCGAAGCGAAUUCCAACAAGCAAUCGAACCUCGAAUUUCGAACCUCGAACUUCGAGGAUAGUGGCGGACGGGUGAGUAACGCGUGGAUAACCUGCCUAUCUGACCGGGACAACACCGGGAAACUGGUGCUAAUACCGGAUACGCUCGUAAGGACACAUGUAAAUACGAGGAAAGGGGAAACCCGCAGACAGAUGGGUCCGCGUCCCAUUAGCUGGUUGGCGGUGUAAGAGACCACCAAGGCGACGAUGGGUAGCCGGCCUGAGAGGGUGGACGGCCACACUGGAACUGAGA
rnacentral:rRNA from 1 species